rnacentral:lncRNA from 1 species
CUCAUGUUGAAACUCAGUCCCCAGUGGGGCAGUAUUGAGAGGUGGGACAUUUAAGAGGCAAUUGGGUCAUGAGUGAAUUAAUCCAUUCAUGGGUUAAUGAAUUAAUGGGUUAAUGGAUUAAUGGGUUAUCGUGGGAGGAGAACUAGUGGCUUUAUAAUGAGAGGAAGAGAGACCUGAGUUAGCACAUCAGCAUGCUCAGCCCCCCAGCAUGUAACAGCUGGCACCAUCCGGGGAUUCUUCAGAGAGUCCCCAUCAGCAAGAAUACUCGCCAGAUGAGGCCCCUCAGUCUGAGAAUCCUCAGCUUCCAUAACUGUCAUGAAAAGUGGAGAGAAGCAUCUUGAAAAAGCUAUUCAACAUUACACUCAUUAGAUGGCUAUUAUUAAAAAAAAUAAAGCAACAGAAAAUUACAAGUGCAAUGGUUAAUUUUCUAUGUCAACUUGACAGGGCCAUGAGGUCCCCAGACGCAAUCAUGAUUCUGGGUGUGUCUGAGGUGUUUCUGGAUGUGAUUAACAUUUGGAUCAGUAGAGUGAGUAAAGCAGAUUGCCCUUCAUAAUGUGGCUGGAUCUCAUCCCAUCAACUGAAGAUCUGAAGAGAACCAGAAGCUGAUAAGAGAGAACUUCUCCUGCUGGACUGCCUGGAGCUGGGACAUUGAUCUUUUCUUGCCUUUGGACUUGAAUUGAAAUAUCAGCUCUUCUUGGAUCUUAAUCCUCCUGGCUUUUGGACUGGAACUUAAAAACAAAAUGGGGCACCAGCAAAUAUGUUUUUCUUUUAGGUCCUGAAAAGUGGAGAGGAGCAUCUUUAAAAACUAGUCAACAUCACACCCAUUGGAUGGCUAUUAUUAAAAAAAAAAAAGCAAUAGAAAAUUACGAGUGUGAUGGUUAAUUUUCUGCAUCAAUGUGCCUUGGCCAUGAGGUCCCCAGAUGUUUGGGCAAACAUUAUUCUGGGUGUGUCUGAAUAAUGACUUCUAUUGUUGUAUUUAUUAUUAUAAUGGCUUUUAUUAUAUGUCCUGCUGGCUUUUAGACUGGAACUUACAAAAUAUGGCACAUUGCCUUUCCUGGGUUUCCAGCUUGCUGACUAUAAAUCUUGGGACUUUUCAGCAUCCAUAACCAUGUAAGCCAAUUCCCUAUAAUAAAUCUUUUUCUCUGUCUUUAUGUAUGUAUGUAUGUAUGUAUGUAUGUAUGUAUGUAUGUAUCUAUCUACAUAUAUAUGCAUACAGAAAGAUAAUGUGUAUAUAUAUAUAUACUCUUUAUAUGUAUAUUGUCUCUAUACACAUGCAGACACACACACACACACACUCUCUCUCUCUCUCUCUCUUUCUCUAUAUUAAUCAGAGCCCUAACUAAUACAGAUGCAUUGCUGGGUGUGAAUGUAAAAUGGUGUAGCAGCAGCUAUGGUUCCUCAAAAAGUUAGAGAAUUACCGUAUGAUCUAGCAAUUCCACUUCUGGGUAUAUUUAAAUCCACAAAAAAUUAAAAGCAGGGACUUGAACAAAUAUUUGUACAUCCACAUUAUAGCAGCACUACUCAUGGUAGUCAAAAGGUGGGAACAACCCAAAUGUCCAUUGAUGGAUGAAUGGAUAAAUGAAAUAUGGCAUAUAUAAUAGAAUACUACACAUUCAUAAAAAGAAAGGAAAUUCUGACACAUACUACAACAUGGAUGAACCUUGAGGACAUUAUGCUAAGUGAAAUGAACCAGUCACGAAAGACAAAUACUGCCUGAUUCCACCCACAUUAGGUAUCUAAAGUAGUCAAACUCAGAGAAACAGAAGGUAGAAUGCAGUUACCAGGGGCUGGAAAAAGGGGAAUGGGAAAUUAUUGUUUAAUGGGUACAGUUUCAAUUCUGCAAGCUAAAAACUUCUAGAGAUGGAUGGUGGUAAUAGUUACACAAUAUCGUGAAUGUAUUUAAUGCCGCUGAACUGUACCUUAAAAUAGUUAAAAUGUUAUAUAUGUUAUGUAUAUUUUACCAAAAUAAAAUAAAAACCCAUCCU